UGGGGAAUAUUGGACAAUGGGCGAAAGCCUGAUCCAGCCAUGCCGCGUGUGUGAAGAAGGUCUUCGGAUUGUAAAGCACUUUAAGUUGGGAGGAAGGGCAGUAAGCGAAUACCUUGCUGUUUUGACGUUACCGACAGAAUAAGCACCGGCUAACUCUGUGCCAGCAGCCGCGGUAAUACAGAGGGUGCAAGCGUUAAUCGGAUUUACUGGGCGUAAAGCGUGCGUAGGCGGCUAAUUGAGUCGGAUGUGAAAUCCCCGAGCUUAACUUGUGAAUUGCAUUCGAUACUGGUUAGCUAGAGUGUGGGAGAGGCUGGUAGAAUUCCAGGUGUAGCGGUGAAAUGCGUAGAGAUCUGGAGGAAUACCGAUGGCGAAGGCAGCCAUCUGGCCUAACACUGACGCUGAGGUACGAAAGCAUGGGGAGCAAACAGG
rnacentral:rRNA from 1 species